GAACAUAUUUGAAAAACAUUAGAAACAUCAAACGCGCUGAGAAAUCAUUCAAAACAUAGUUGACUCAAAUAAGGAGGGAAUCGCGAUUCAAUAUAUUUAUAUUCUAAAACUAACCUUAAACUUGCACAUGCAUGGUAUGUGGGGUGCAAAUGUGAACAUAAAAUGACAUGACUUUCAUAAUUGAUUAUAGUUUAAUCUCUUCUCAUUAUGAUAAUAAUGAUAAGAAAUCCAGAGAGACACCAUCCCAAAUACUAUAGAGCUAGAAAUUGAAGAAAAAGAAGCUGGCAAAACCCUAAUCAAUCAAAUUCAUGCAUUACGAAGGUAACCGUAAAGUGAAGCUUAUGCAUAUGCACUUGUAUUACAUAUAUAAACACAAGUUGCUUGGAGUUUUCUUGCAAAGAUAUUUUAUAAAACCCCACAAACAGCAUUGUCGGUGGAUACGCAAAUCUUUUUGGACGGUCGAGAUCGCAUCACGAUGUCCUUGAUCAAGC
rnacentral:lncRNA from 1 species